AUGGAGGAGCGCGGAGGUGGCCGUGAAUCUAGGAGGAGGUGGCGGGGACAGGGCGCCGUACAACUGCCCGACGAUGAUACGCGAUCCGAAGAGGAUGAGGUGCUAUUUGAGGAUCUCUUUGGUCAUGCGUUUGAUGGAGUGAAGGUGCUACUUGAGGAUUCUUUUGUUUCCGCAUCUGAUAGCAAGAGCCCCAAGAAUAAUCUGAAGUGUAGAUCAUUUAGUGUUUCUACUCUUUGCUCACCUUCAAGGUUUCUACCUGAGAAGUUUGGAGGCAACUCACAUGGAUUUCAUUACAUUGGUAACCUUGCUGAUGCUACAAUUAUGAAUGUUGAACUUUGUUGUGAGAAGCAAUUCAAUAAGUUGGACCUAGGGCCUCCCAAUUUUGACAGCAUCUGUGGAAUUAUACUGGCACAAAAGGUGAAGUGCUGGCAGAUCAGGUGUCUAACUAAAGCCCCGCAAGCUGCUGGUGCAAUUCACACUGAUUUUGAAAGAGGCUUCAUGUGUACUGAGGUUCAUGAUCCUUUGAUAUCCAUUCUAAUGUAUCAGAGAAAACUGCUGAACAAGAUGUUCUCUUCACGCCAUGUCUUAUCUCAGUUGCAAUAUUUAGAUUUUUUUCAUCAAGGAAGCAGAGGAAGGCAAUGA
rnacentral:rRNA from 1 species